GCGGGCGGCCGUGUGCAGGCGCGGCGGGCGGGCUGAGGAGAGCGGAGCCCGGGCGGGAGCCAGCGGCACCGAGCGGGUCGAGGGGUGCGGGCUGGUGCCCACCGGCCGGGGCGGCGAGAGCCGGGUCAGCCGCCGCUGAGGGCGCGGGGAGCGGUCGCCUGAGCUCGCCUGUUCGAGGAGCCGCAGCCGCGCCGCAGCCAUGGGGAACCGCGGGAUGGAGGAUCUCAUCCCGCUGGUCAACCGGCUGCAGGACGCCUUCGCCGCCAUCGGGCAGAACGCCAACCUCGACCUGCCGCAGAUCGCCGUGGUGGGGGGGCAGAGCGCCGGCAAGAGCUCGGUGCUGGAGAAUUUUGUCGGGAGGGACUUUCUGCCACGUGGAUCUGGCAUCGUGACCAGGCGCCCGCUCGUCCUGCAGCUGGUGAACUCCAGCACAGAAUAUGGCGAGUUCCUACACUGCAAAGGAAAGAAAUUCACUGAUUUUGAGGAGGUCCGUUUGGAGAUUGAGGCUGAAACGGAUCGUGUUACUGGCUCCAACAAAGGAAUUUCCCCUGUGCCCAUCAAUCUUAGAGUCUACUCUCCCCAUGUCCUGAACCUGACCUUGGUGGAUCUACCGGGAAUGACAAAAGUCCCAGUAGGGGACCAGCCCCCUGACAUCGAGUUUCAGAUCAGAGAUAUGCUCAUGCAGUUCGUCACCAAAGAGAAUUGCCUCAUCCUGGCGGUGUCCCCAGCCAACUCUGAUUUGGCCAAUUCUGAUGCCCUGAAGAUUGCAAAGGAGGUGGAUCCUCAAGGGCAACGCACUAUUGGAGUCAUCACUAAGCUGGAUCUUAUGGAUGAGGGAACUGAUGCACGAGAUGUAUUGGAAAAUAAAUUACUUCCCCUUCGUAGAGGUUACAUUGGUGUAGUCAACAGAAGUCAGAAGGACAUUGAUGGCAAGAAGGACAUUCAGCAAGCAUUGGCUGCAGAGAGAAAAUUCUUUCUCUCCCACCCAGCCUACAGACACAUGGCUGAUCGCAUGGGAACCCCCUACCUGCAGAAAGUAUUGAACCAGCAAUUGACCAACCACAUCCGUGACACCCUGCCCGGGCUGCGGAACAAGCUCCAAAGCCAGCUUCUCUCCAUCGAGAAGGAGGUGGAGGAGUACAAGAGCUUUCGUCCUGAUGACCCUGCUCGCAAAACCAAAGCUCUGCUUCAGAUGGUCCAGCAGUUUGCUGUGGACUUUGAGAAACACAUUGAAGGUUCUGGAGACCAAAUUGAUACCUAUGAGCUGUCAGGAGGAGCCAGGAUUAACCGCAUCUUCCAUGAGCGUUUCCCCUUUGAACUGGUGAAGAUGGAGUUUGAUGAGAAGGAGCUGCGGCGAGAGAUUAGCUAUGCCAUCAAGAACAUCCAUGGUAUCAGAACCGGUCUCUUCACACCCGACAUGGCCUUUGAGACCAUUGUGAAAAAGCAGGUGAAGAAGAUUAAAGAACCGUGCCUGAAAUGCGUGGACAUGGUCAUUUCGGAGUUAAUCAAUACCGUUAGACAGUGCACCAAGAAGCUCAGCCAGUACCCUCAUCUGCGUGAGGAGAUGGAGAGGAUUGUUACUACUCACAUCCGUGAAAGAGAAGGCAGGACCAAAGAUCAGGUCAUGCUUCUAAUAGACAUCGAGCUGGCUUACAUGAACACAAACCAUGAGGAUUUCAUUGGCUUUGCCAAUGCUCAGCAGAGGAGCAGCCAGAUGAGCAAGAAGAAGGCAGCUGGCAACCAGGAUGAGAUCCUGGUCAUCCGAAAGGGCUGGCUGACCAUCAACAACAUCGGUAUCAUGAAGGGAGGCUCCAAGGAGUAUUGGUUUGUCCUGACAGCGGAGAACCUCUCCUGGUACAAAGACGAUGAGGAGAAGGAGAAGAAGUACAUGUUACCCGUGGAUAACCUGAAACUGCGAGAUGUUGAGAAGGGGUUCAUGUCCAGCAAGCACAUCUUUGCUCUCUUCAACACUGAACAGAGGAAUGUGUACAAGGACUACCGGCAGCUGGAGCUGGCCUGCGAGACCCAGGAGGAGGUGGAUAGCUGGAAGGCUUCCUUCCUUCGUGCAGGAGUCUACCCGGAGCGUGUUGGGGACAAGGACAAAGCCAGUGAAGCAGAGGAGAAUGGAUCAGACAGUUUCAUGCACUCCAUGGACCCUCAGCUGGAGAGACAAGUGGAAACGAUCAGGAACCUGGUGGAUUCCUACAUGGCAAUUGUCAACAAAACCAUCAGAGACCUCAUGCCGAAGACAAUCAUGCACCUCAUGAUAAACAAUACCAAGGACUUUAUCCAUUCGGAGCUACUGGCAAACCUGUACUCCUGUGGUGACCAAAACACGCUGAUGGAGGAAUCGGCAGAGCAGGCCCAGCGACGUGACGAAAUGCUGCGCAUGUACCAUGCCCUGAAGGAGGCCCUCAACAUCAUUGGGGACAUCAACACCAGCACCAUCAGCACCCCCAUGCCCCCACCGGUGGACGACUCUUGGCUGCAGGUGCAGAGCGUACCGUCUGGACGCAGGUCUCCCACAUCCAGCCCCACGCCGCAGAGGAGAGCUCCCGCUGUUCCGCCCACCAGACCUGGGUCUCGAGGCCCAGCUCCUGGGCCACCUCCUGCUGGUGGGUCCACGCUGGGUGGUGCGCCCCCUGUGCCCUCCAGGCCAGGUGCCUCUCCUGAUCCCUUCGGGCCACCCCCUCAGGUUCCUUCUCGGCCUAAUCGUGCUCCUCCUGGUGUCCCCAGUUGUUCAUAGACUCCUCUGGAUCCUGACACCAGCUUGUCAUUUGAGUUCACUGAUGAAUGGAGAAUUUCCAAUGACAAGGGACUCCCUCUCUUCCUCUCCUGUAUAUAGAAUAAGAAUGUUCCCUGCUAGCACUUGGACUCGCGUCCUUCUGCCAUGGAAUCACUAUCAGUGACCCCUGAGGACUGGCAGCCACGCAGAAGGGGCCCCGCCUCACCUACUCGACCUACCAUAAUCCGACCGGCUGAACCGUCCCUCUUAGAUUUAUAACUCGAGGCUGUAGAACAGCUGGCGACGAGUGCCGUGCUGGCGGCGUCCCAUCCCUCCCUCCCUCCCGCAGCCACAGUCACUGCUCAUCCAUCCCACGUCUCCCGCCACCCCUCCCUGCUGUGUCGUAAAGCACUAGCCUAGUGAUCGAGCUCUUCGUCUUCACUCGUGCGUCCCGUAUUGCUUUGUGAGCGUAGAGUAGCCUUCAUUCAGUGGCACGGAUCCCUGGAGUACACAGGCUCCUCGGAGAGACCAGCCGCAGGGACGUCCCUAAGUCCGAGUGGCGUCUGUCCGUCCAGUUAUCCCACCUGGUCUAGCCUGGAUAAGUGUCCUGCCUGCGUCUGUUAGCUGUAGCACCUAGGACUGAUCUGUAGCUAUUUUCUUUUCUCAUAGUUAAGACGACAAAAGCGUGACUUAGAAGAAAAAUACUCUCAAAAACACCGUUAGGAACAGAUUCAGUGUCCUGUGUAUUAGUUUUGACUAAGGUGCAAAAAAAUAUCAUGUUGGGAACAGUGCAAUCAACCUUAUAUCAACGUGAGGCAGGGAGGUGGAGAAGGGGGGAACCCGAUGGAUCGGCACAGAGUGAAGUCUGAGGUAGCGCACACUCCGUGCAGGGGGCGCACGGACCUCCCGAAAGAGCUGGGGACACAUUGGGGACACGUUGGGGACACACUGGCUCCUGCCAGCCCUUGUCCUGCAUCCUCAGCUUUCGGCUGACUUACCUGAACCCAGCAGGGAGUGGGGAAUAGAGAUGCUGCUCCCCCCUUGCAAAUGGACAACCAAAUGUUUUCAGGGAGUUUGCUGCGUGAUGUUUUUGUUGAACAAAAUCUUUCUGCUUUGAAUAAGCACAUCUUUCCGUGUUUUUUGGGUACUGUGGUGACUUCUUCCGUAGCCUUUUCUUCUUGCAUGUGAAUGGUACGUGUUUGGGGAAACUUGUAACCGUUGUUGAUCGCAUAUCAUCUUCUUAAGGUUUGGGUUUUACUUUUCAUGCUACAUGUAUUAAAAGAAAAAGACUUGAGAAUUAAAAAUAUAUCAACCCUAUGCAUCUCAGAUGUCAUGUCUCUACCAGAGCUAAAUGAGCCACCUGUGUUGCGGGCUUUCAACCGGCCCUCAUUCACAUUUAAGUUAUUUCAGUGCUAUUGCUCUUAAUUUUGGUCGCAGAUCCUCUAUUGUUCUGAUGCAAGUGUAAUUUUUCCUUUCUGUAUUUUAACAAUUCUUUUACCGCUUCUCCCCCUUUUCUUUCCCUUUCCCCUUUUCCUUUUUCCUCUGUUUUUCUUGUCUUUAAACUCCAGCCGGCCGGGUAAGGCCAGUCCCUCCCGCCCCGAGAGCCCAAAACCACCAUUUGACAUGUAGGCUGCUCCCUCUGAGACUCUUUGCCUGCCUCUUAGCUGUUCUGUCCCGGAAUGGUCUCACUCGAAUGUCACACAUGGCUUGUUUUGUUUGUACUUUGUGACACACACGUAUCGGAUGUGACUGUAGUGAAACUGUUUGGUUGUUUUUUCUUUCUUCCCGGCUGCUUAAAUGAGUAUAUUGUAGUAAUGAGAAACAUAUCGUUACUGUUAUAAAUAUCUAUAAAUAUAUAUAUAUAUAAGAUGAAAAAAAAAUCUAUAUGUCCAGGUGUUUAAAGCCAUUUGUGCUUCCAUGUGGAUUUUAGGAAAUACUUAAGUAGGGAAAAAAUAUAUAUAUACAUAUAUAUACACACACACAUCCAAAAAAUUAACCAAAUCCUGAUGCUGAGUUCUUGAGCUGGUUGUUAAAUUCUCUGCGGUGUGCAGUUGGGUUGUUGUAUUACCCCGGCCCUGUGGGUGAACUGUCUCAGUGCUGGUAGUAGCUGUGAUGCAGUUUGUGAUCUACCUGUCACUCUUGUUUAUUGGAUGAAAUAAACUAUCAUUUCUGUAUAAUGAAGGCCUCCAUGGCUAGAAUAAAACCAUCUCUUUCUCUU